AGGUCAAUAACGAGAACUCAUACUAACAUGAUUGGAAAUGAUGACUUAAAAUCAUGCUCAAUAGGAUUAUGCUGAGGCUC
ensembl:snoRNA SNORD115 Small nucleolar RNA SNORD115